rnacentral:rRNA from 1 species
CGGAACGUGUCCUGAAGUGGGGGAUAACGCAUCGAAAGAUGUGCUAAUACCGCAUAUACUCUGAGGAGGAAAGUAGGGGAUCGAAAGACCUUAUGCUUUUGGAGCGGCCGAUGUCUGAUUAGCUAGUUGGUAAGGUAAUGGCUUACCAAGGCGACGAUCAGUAGUUGGUCUGAGAGGACGGCCAGCCACACUGGGACUGAGACACGGCCCAGACUCCUACGGGAGGCAGCAGUGGGGAAUUUUGGACAAUGGGCGCAAGCCUGAUCCAGCAAUGCCGCGUGAGUGAAGAAGGCCUUCGGGUUGUAAAGCUCUUUCAGUCGAGAAGAAAAGGUUGUGACUAAUAAUCAUAACUCAUGACGGUAUCGACAGAAGAAGCACCGGCUAACUACGUGCCAGCAGCCGCGGUAAUACGUAGGGUGCGAGCGUUAAUCGGAAUUACUGGGCGUAAAGGGUGCGCAGGCGGUUCUGUAAGUCAGAUGUGAAAUCCCCGGGCUUAUCCUGGGAACUGCGUUUGAAACUACAGGACUAGAGUGUGGCAGAGGGGGGUGGAAUUCCAUGUGUAGCAGUGAAAUGCGUAGAGAUAUGGAAGAACAUCGAUGGCGAAGGCAGCCCCCUGGGUUAACACUGACGCUCAUGCACGAAAGCGUGGGGAACAAACAGGAUUAGAUACCCUGGUAGUCCACGCCCUAAACUAUGUCAACUAGUUGUCGGGUCUUAUUAGACUUGGUAACGUAGCUAACGCGUGAAGUUGACCGCCUGGGGAGAACGGUCGCAAGAUUAAAACUCAAAGGAAUUGACGGGGACCCGCACAAGCGGUGGAUUAUGUGGAUUAAUUCGAUGCAACGCGAAAAACCUUACCUACCCUUGACAUGUCAGAAAGUUUUCAGAGAUGAAAUCGUGCUCGAAAGAGAAUCUGAACACAGGUGCUGCAUGGCUGUCGUCAGCUCGUGUCGUGAGAUGUUGGGUUAAGUCCCGCAACGAGCGCAACCCUUGUCAUUAAUUGCCAUCAUUCUUGGGCACUUUAACGAGACUGCCGGUGACAAACCGGAGGAGGGUGGGGAUGACGUCAAGUCCUCAUGGCCCUUAUGGGUAGGGCCUCACACGUCAUACGAUGGUCGGUACAAAGGGUCGCCAACCCGCGAGGGGGAGCCAAUCCCAGAAAGCCGAUCGUAGUCCGGAUCGUAGGCUGCAACUCGCCUGCGUGAAGUCGGAAUCGCUAGUAAUCGUGGAUCAGCAUGUCACGGUGAAUACGUUCCCGGGUCUUGUACACACCGCCCGUCACACCAUGGGAGCGGGUUCCGCCAGAAGUAGGUAGCCUAACCGCAAGGAGGGCGCUUACCACGGCGGGGUUCGUGACUGGGGUGAAGUUGUAACAAGGUA